rnacentral:rRNA from 1 species
UACGAAGGGUGCUAGCGUUGUUCGGAAUUACUGGGCGUAAAGCGUACGUAGGCGGCUUAGUAAGUCGAUUGUGAAAUCCCCAAGCUCAACUUGGGAAUUGCAACCGAAACUGCUUUGCUUGAGUUUGGUGGGGGAUGGUGGAAUUCUUAGUGUAGGGGUGAAAUCCGUAGAUAUUAAGAGGAAUACCGGUGGCGAAGGCGACCAUCUACGCCAAUACUGACGCUAAGGUACGAAAGCGUGGGGAGCAAACAGG